UAAUUUUGUCUUGCAAUGCAUCAUCUUUCAGUUCUUUGACAUGAGCUCCUUGCAAGCUGCACUUCCGAAUUCACAACUGCCAUCCACCUUCCUUGGUGGUGCAACUCAAUUGUUGUUUCCUCAAGAUCCGGUGACUCCUUUUAUCCCUGCAGCGUCACAGGGUGGCGUAGUAUACCUGUCUGGGCAGGCACCAACCUCGCAAUUACCGAAUGUCCCAGCUCAAGGACAUGUUGCUUCUGUAGGAGGAAAUCCACGU